ACCAGAAUUCUUGGCCUUACACCUGUCCCAGCUCCAGGCAGGCUUUCAGCCAUAACUUGUACCAUCCUACAAAGCAAUAUCACUGAGCCUCAAGACUUCAACCUGCAGAAACCAGGCUUCUUCUUGCAGAAUUUAAUAACCUACAUCUUUCCUGCAGGUAUUCAAGCACAAAGUAACUCAAGGGAGGGAGAAGUUGUUGGCCUUUUCAAACCACUAACAUUUGGAUUUAUGAGCAUGCCACCCAUAUUUUUGUGUGGGGUGGACUGCUAUCUCAAGUCUUGCCACUGCUAAAAUUAACUGCCAUCUCAGGCCACGUAAGCUGCUUAUGCCCAAAUGUCAAGUCACUAGGGACAUUUACAGGAAAGCAGAUGUUAAUGGGAUAUUUCUGAGAAUAGGCAUUAUGUAUGGAAAACACUGGAGCAAAGAAAUGAAACUCUUCUGAGUACCCUAGGCACCAGCCAAAGCAUUCUGUGAUGGGAAGCUGGUGAGAUGCUGAGCUGUACAGAGGGAUUUGUGAGAUAAGUCAUUUCCUCAUCCUGAACACUUUGCAUUAGUUUCCAUUCUCAGCACAAGGAGCAUUUAUUCCUUAGCUUGUUCAGCAAAGAGAUUCUUGUCUCAUCUGUCCCAUCAACCCAUCUGUAACAGAACCUUAUGGCUGUGGCCAUCUUGUUCAGAUUCCAGAAAGAAAAUUACUUUUUCCUACCUCAACCAAGAAUUUAAUGGGGGAAAUACUGCAUGAGAACAACUGUUUUGUGUUCCAUAAGUAAAGCCUGGGACUAAUCAGCCACUAACUUGAUUUGCUGAGAUCAGAAACAGGUGAGAAAGAAGGAAAAUAUAAGCUGUGCUUAAGAUUAGUACUUUAUAUGUUUUACAUUACAGGCUGACUAUAAAAGCUAGUCAGCCAAGAUUGGCUAGUCAUGUGAAAGGAGGUCAUUUGCCAAGCUUCACUGCUGUGUGCAAGCUAUUUUAAAAGGGACUGUGGAAAUCUGGGAUCCCUCUUGCACAUGCCCGGAUCACUGAAAUAGUCUUGCAUGAUAGUUCCUCUACUGUGUAAAAUGUGUAUUGGAUUUGAGAUCUGGCACCUCCUUUUCUCCUCUGAACUCCAAAACACACCUGAGCCAUUCACCUCUCUCCCUUAGAAUGCUCAUCCAUCCUUAGAAAUGAAUAAAACCAAAAAUCUCUACCACAAACCCACCCAAAAUCUCACCCUCUUUGACAUUUGUAGAAUAGAUCACAAGUAGAUUAUUUGUUCCUUGUAAUUUCCCCUUGCCUACCCCCUUCCCCCAUCCCCAGUGUAUCCUAAUCAAAGUUAAUGCAUUCCAACUAACAUCUGUGUUGCUGCAGGAAUCACUUUGUGUGUCUGAGAAGCACAUUUUCUAGGUAACCUUGAAAGCAAAAAGUCUGAGGGGUCUGCAGAAAUACAUAGGGAUGUCCUGCUGAGGCAAUUCCCUGGGGAGCACAGGCAGGUCUCCUAAUUAGGGGAACCUGACUUAAAUGGCAGCUGGCCAACUGCAACCCCAAUUACUGGAACCACUUAUGGAAACCUCGGGAGACAUGAUCAGGCUUUCAACAGCAGGUGAUUUGGGAGAACUCUGAAGAGUGGCCUUUCAGCUUUUGUUAUGGCUUACCAGUUUUCCAUCACAAGCUGCAAGAAGCAAUACCUGACCCAGGGUGUCAGAACAGACACAAUACCUCAGCAGAUGAGGAUGGAUUUUGAGGCUGAGAGUGUAAAUAUUUCUCACAGACCUGAGUUUUCUUUAGCAAUGAGGAGGGGUGAAAUAAGUUCCUGUCUCUGCCACAGCCGUUCAGAACAACCCAGAUACCACAAUAAGGUGUGUCUCUAUGCUAUGAUGAAGACUGCAAUCAGUAUUUCUGUGUGCAAGAAGCUACAUCCCAAGAGACCAGCAGCAGAAUUUAUUUUCUAUCAUACACACAGACACAUGUAUGACAAUGAAAUAUUUCAAGGUGUUCUAAAUAUUUGCUCCUAAAAAAGACUGAUGCCACAUUCCUGCAAUACAGUAUCAUAUUCUGUAGGUGUUGCAGACAGAUUAUGCCAAUCAAACACUGGAGGUCCUAAUCAAUGCACCAAAUCUGUAAUCACCAAAAAGCAGGUCUGGUCACAUGGAUUCGUAUGAUUGUCCUGACUCAAGAUCACAUUCUCAUUACCAAGCUCUUGCUGAACAAAAGGAGAUCAUAUAAAUGCUCCAUAAUUCUAUGGCAUCCUUUGUCAAAUAUUUCAACUUGUCAGUUUUCCCAAGACUACCUAGAAGUAAAAUGACAGAUAUGGCACUGCAUAAAUAACUGCUGAUGUUUCUUCUACUUGUAAUCCAGGUGGUUGUCCCUGUGUCCCUGUGGCGAGGACUUUGUAAAUUUUUAAACUAUUGUUGAAAUCUAAGAACUAGCAAUUCAGGAUGACAGUGUAAUAUCCUUCAAAGAGCCCAGGCAGCAGAUCUUACAGGCAAGGCACAAAAUACAAAGAUGCUACAGCUUUCUUUUGCCAGCUACAGGAGAGGAGAGAAACAAUAAGGGCCACAGUGCAAACUGAAGCCUGAGAGAAGUGAAACUCCUGUGCAGAAAUUCAAAGUCUGCCGUCUGGGCUAGUAUCCUAGUACACUUGGUUGUCAAGCAGAAUGAGAAAGAUGUGUUCCUGCCAGCACCUGAAUGCACAGUACCUGAGCCCUCAGUGAGACCUUGGAGAUUGAAAACAGCCUUCAUAGGUAACUGAUGAUCCAGCCAAGGGAUAGACAAAAUUUGAUCCAGCCAAGGGAAAGACAACAUUUGAGACACUGCUUUCCAUGUCUCCUGUCUCUGGGUUUGGACUCCCAGUUCCCAGGCACAGCCCCAGAACUUGGAGGGUUUGACAGACAAACUUUUACCCCUGGCUGGAAGGCAUUACCUGUCUAACAGAGCUGACAGCACACAGGUGCCCCAUCCUUCAGACUAACUCCAUCCUCUCUGCCCAGCAGUUCCACCUGUGACAUCAGGUUGGACACUGAAGCUGCUGAGAUGCAGAAGUGUGUGCCAUGCUGCUGAUGCUGAGGCACAGCUGGAGAUGCAGAAACACAUGUGGACAGCCCUGGGCUGGAACACCUUCAGCUUCUACAGCUUGUAGGCCUGAGCCUGGGAGUCCUCCUGUUCAGUACAUAACUGGGACAUGGGAGUGCCAAGGAGAAUCCAGCCUCUGACUCCUUAAAAACUGUAGUGCACAGCUUUCUGUCCCUGUAUGAACCUGGACCGUGGAGAAGUGAAUCUGAGAGCACAAACCAAACAGUGACUUCUCUCUACCUUAAGCUGCACAGUUACUUUGCAAGUAUUACCUGAUCUUAAAAAGCAGACUGAAACUUAGUGGGAGCUUCUCCUGCAUUUCUUUCAGGCAUGUCUGUGUAUGUUGGCAGGAAAUGCAAAGGAUCUGCCAAGUAAAGAAUUCCCUAGCUCUCCCUCUAGCCCCAUCCCAACCUUUGCAGGGUAAUGGUCCUUGCAGGAAGCAAUUUUGUAAAGGUCUUUUCACAAUGUGGAGAAAUAGGCUAUUUCACACAGCUCCUGCCAUCCCAAUCCAGUGCAAUGGGAUCGCUCAGGCCCUCCUGUAUAAGUGCAGACAUGGAAAUGUGGGCUGAGUCUCUUUUUGAUUACUUGUUUUUAUUGCAACAGAUUUUAUGGGAAAUGUAAACAUUAUGGACUCCAUCCCAAACUAAAUCAUGCUCCAAGCAGUCUCGCAGCACUGGUGAUAGUCUGAUGCCAUACACUUCCCCAUGAUCAGGAACAGCCUUUAUCAGGCAAAAGAAUACCUCUUUCCCUGUGGGUCAGGGGGCAUGGGACAUGCCAUUCUCUCAGGGACCAGAAAUAAGGGGAUACAGCUCCUGGUUCCAGUCAGAUGCUACAAGAACUGAUUGUAUAUCUUGUUCCUAGCAGCAGCUUUGUGAGUGAAUUGGUGAGUAAGAUUUGUUUGCAGUUAUAUAGGAAAAAUGUGAGCAACAGUCUUGACUGGAGAAGAAAGACCUGCAUUUGCAAGGUAAUUUAUUUAGGAUAAAUCACAUCAGUGACUCCAGCCUCCUUCAGUGCAGCUGUUUACAUGAAGUGCCACCAAAACAAGAAACAGGAAGGAAGGACAACCUGAAAAGAGCGAGGUGAACAAUUUUCUUUUCCAGUGGCUGCUGUUGCUGGGUUGGCUACAUAAGUGACUGUUUGGCUGUGCAGUCUGUUAGAAUGAAACUCAUCUCAGAUCCAAGCAUUUUUUCCACAUUUUGGGUUCAUAUUUACAUUUGUUAAGGUUAAUAGACCUGACAAUUUCUUCAUGUUCUCACCAGGGAGCAGUCACUGACAAACCGUGGGAGAGACUGAAACAAUAUUCUCCACAGAAAGGAAAAUCUGUGCCUCACACAUUCCUCCCUAGUUACAGUCCUCAGUGGUGAAAAUCAGUGUAGUGCCCCUGAAUUUACCUCAGCGAUGCCAGUUUACACCACUUAUAGAUCUGACCACUUAUCCUUGUUACUUAUCUUCCUCAGUGUUCCAGCAAUUGCAGUGGAGCCUUAGCAUUUCCUAAACCCACUUUUUUCUUUUCUUCUAGAAUAUUUUGGCUAACUCUCCUGGGGCUACAAAGCCCCAGGUUCAAGUGUUCUAUCUUGCCUUUUAGAUGCCAUCUGCAAAAAGAUAUUUUUUAAAAGCACGGUUUAAAAGUAGACAUCAGGCAAGAGGUGUCUUUGCCCACUUGUAAUAUUGCAUGCCUUUAAAAAGAAAAUAGUAGAGGAAGCCAGUUCUCUCCUUCAGGAGAGAGCUGAAUUGAAUUUUUAAGGUUAGUACAUAAUCUGGGGAAGUAUGAAUCUGCAUUUUUCCUAUUGGUAUCAGAGCUCUUAGGAUAUCUGAGGCAGGGACAUUACUCCCUCUCCUUUCAGCUGUUUUUCCCUUCCCAGACUCCAUGGAGAACUAUCCAGGCAGACUUCAAAAUUCAAGAACACAACUAAGACCUAAGCAGUUACCUCUUGAGCUGAGCUGAAGCUGAAGGAUUGUGAGCUGCUGUGGUCUUAGCUGGGCAAAGAUCAGCCCUAUGGGCCAUUGGGUCUUUAGCCACCUUUGAUCAUGUGAAGAACAAGACCAACACACACAGGGAGGAUGGAACACACCGGCCAGAUAGUCACACAUACAAAGAUUCUCUGGACACAAACAAGAAAUGGAAUCCCAUCUGCCAUAGGAGAACUUCCCCUGGGAGAAAACUGGAACCUAAUGCAGGAUUGUGCAGAGCAGGCAUUGCCUCAUGAGUGACCAACUCUCAGAAAAACUGAAACCAUCCUUAAGUGGCCAAACUCUCCCUUCAGUCCUGAAAACUUUUAUUAUUGAAGAAACAAGAGAAAUGCAGAGCACACAGGUGGAAAGACCCAAGAUGGACCCUACCAGGAAGAAUCUGAGAGACCCUGGGAAAGAAAGGUGAUGUCCAGAACCACCAGUGGGGAAGGCUUGGGCUGAGAAAGGAUUGUGACAGAGCAUGUGGAAAAGGAAGGUAUGGAAAUUUGAAAUUCUAAGAACACACAGAAGUUUGGAAUGCCAUGAAAAUUUGCCUUGUUUUAGUUGUUGAAUAUUAUAUAAUGUCCUCUCCUUGCAGGAGUACCCAAUUCCAUCAUUAGUUAUGGUUUUUAUGGCAUACUGGGCACUCUUGUGCAUAUUUGCUUCAGAGCUGAUCAGCCUGGAAGACAUGACUGAGGUUUGCUCCUUGCCUAAUAGAAAAGUCUGAUCUUGAACAGGUCUAUCUGGCCACUGUAGCGAGUGAUGCAGGCAAUCCUCAUAAAAUGAAACGUUCAAUAUUCUGUGUGUAGAAUCACAUCCAUUUUCACAACAUCUGGAAUGAUUCCCCUGACUUUUCAGGGUUCUUUAGCUUAAAUGUUCCGUGAAGUCUGUGUACAACUAACAGUUGUUGCUUUUUUUCUGGAGUGAGAAGAGAAUGUACAGUUUUGCAUCCAUUCGUGUGGCUUCUGGGACUUUUUCUGCUUUUAACAUUCUCUGGCAAUGCUUCAUCCUGAGUCUGUCUUUGGCGGCAGCCACAGUACUGAGGGGCCAUGCAGGCAGAAUAAAUAACAAGGCAGUGCUGAGAGGCUUUCCUUGAUAAAAAUUGCUGUAGGCUGGGCAGAGAGGGCAUAUUUUUUUAGCAAAGAAAAGGCCCCCAUGGCUGCUGCUGUAGGAAACGGAUCCAUUAUUGUCACUCUCUGUUCUGAGAAGGGACAGAAGAACUUUUUGAUUUUCUUUGGUUUUUCUUGUAUAGUCUGCCACAGCAGCCAGCAUUAGCAAAACCAGACCUGUGCUCAUCUUUUCAAAAUAUCACUUUUAUUUCUGAAUACUGAUUACUCAGGCAGACUGCAAGGCAGAGCUGUGAGAGUUUCAUAAGCAGGGCACCAGAUUGUUGUACUGAAGUGGUAAUGACACGAAAAAUGGAGGCAGGGCACAAGCAAUCCACUUAAGGGACCUGGAAAAGCUGUGAAGAAAAGGAUUGAGGCUGAAAGACAUAUUUUAGACAAAGGAAGUUUUUUACUCAGCACUUGUUAGACAACAUCUAUAAUACUGUGUCCAGCUUUGCCUCCUGUAACACCAGAAAGGCACUGAUGAGCCAGAGCAAGAUCAGCAGAGAUGAUCAGGGCAGGAGCACUUGCCUUUUGAGGAGAGGUUCAGAGAGGUGAGCUUCUUCCAUCAGGAGAUGUGAUGGCUUUGGAAGGACUUAACAACAGGAGCCUGAUGAGCACAAGGAAGUCACGGAAAAGAUGGAAGCAAGCUAUUAGUAUUUGGGCACAACAGGGGAGCACAGACAGAUUCUCAUGAGAUUUAAGGAGAAGAAUUUUCACUGCAAGGACAGCCAGGCAGGAAAGCAAGGAGGAUGCUCCUCUCUCUAGGAGGAUUUUCAAGAUCCAGCUGGAUAAACCCUCAAGCAAUGUGGUCUGAAGCUUGCCUUGUUUUACACCGGGGCUUGAGCCAAAGACCUGCUGACCCUUUCCACCUGAGUUACUCUGUAAUCCUGAUUACCAUCCCCUCCAUCCUACUAAAUAUAAUGGCUGCUCUGCACAGCUCACGACACCUCAGUCAUCACCCAAAACAGCCACUACAUGAACUCCUAACCUCAAGAAAAAAUGCACAAGCCUCCAAGCUCCACAAUCCUUACAAUAUUAUACGGUGUUUAAGAAAAAGACCUUGAAAUGUUGACCUCAAUGUCUUCAGCAGAGUUACAGCAGUUCAGGGCCCUGGAGACCAUGAAACAAUGGUUUCAACUCAGGAAUGUUCCCUACAUGUGUUAUAUGAAGCCUGAAACCUCCUGCUCUCAGGCCAUCAGCAUAAGUUAGUGUUGGGUGCUCUACAUGGGUCUAGCAAAGUCAAAGACUGGAGUACCAGGAGAAGUUUAAGAUGUUCUUUUCUUUCAGACUGUGACAGAGAUGUUGUUAAUCUUUUUCUCAUGCCCUCUGGUUUGCUGUCAUUAUACAGGUCUGAUGGUUCUCUGAUUUGAACCUCUCACUGUAAUUAAAGAAGUAAAUAUAAACCACAGGGCUGGUGCUUUGUAACAGUGUUAGAGAGGAGUAAACAACAGCUACCAGUUAGAACUUAGCACUUGACAAAACACACAAUGGAAGGUAAAGAAAUUACAGAAAAAAAGGUCUGCCAGGUUUAGCAUUAUACGGACUUUUUGAGUCAUUGUACAAGCAGAUGAAGUAAUAAAAGGCCACCUUUGCAAAGUGAAAAUAGGACCAUUCAUAACUUCAAUAGACAAAAAAAGAAAGAAAUUGACAAUAGAUAUUUAUAUUCUGUAUUUGGAGAAAAUACAGACAAAUUGGUGAAAAGCAGGUCAUAAGCCUAUGCCACUUCAAAUGUUUUCCAGUCUGUUGAAAAGUAAGAAAAAUGUUACCAUGUCUUUAAGAAGAAUGUUUAUAAAUCACCAGACUUGGAUGACUUGCAUGAAAAAGUACAGCCAUUUGCUUCAAUCCUUUGAUGAUGGUACAGUAAAAAGAAAAAAUGGGCUAAUAUGGGCAAUCUGAUGUAUGUCCCUUGCAAAACAAGAGGAAAAUUAGCAAGAUUUAAUUAAUGAAGAUGUAAAUAGAAGUAAAAGGUGUGAAUACCAUUUCAUGACAGUUAAUACGAUGCUGUUAAAAAACAAAUCUUGUCAAUACAGCCUGAUUUUACUAUGAAUUAUGUGUUUGGCUGAUAAUUACUGUCAUGUAGACAUAAAAGAUUUCUAUGGUUUAAUGUGUACUGUUUGCUGGCAUAGAAUAAUCUGAGCUUUUCAAAAAUGAGCAACUGCAUGGCAAGGUUGCAAAAAUGAGCAAUUAGUGUCAAUAAAGCUUGGAUAAGAUGAAUUUAGAACUUGCUAAAUGGCAGAUUGCAAAGCUGUUGCUAACAUAAAAUUUUCUCUGAAUGAGUAUGCUUCUAGUGGCAUCCCAUGGUGGUAUGUACUAGAAACAGUGUUGACCAACCCAUUUCAUCAGUGAUCUGGAAUUAAAUGCAACAUUCCUGUUGAUUAAAAGCAAACCUGUGAAUAUCACAUAUGCUGCUGGAAUAGAAAUUAUAAUGACAUGACAACUAUAUGAAAUGGUGCAGGGAGUUUAGGUGUAUGAGUGUAAUCAAAUAAAGCUUUUUAAUAUGGCUGAGACUGUAUCUGCAGAGUUGUGGAAGCAGUAUUGAUGAGGAGAGUCUCAGAGUUGCCACAGUGCAAGCAGAGUUCCCCCUGUGAUGCUCUGGCAAUACAAGCAAAAUAAUGCUCAGCUACAUAAAUAUGAUAUAAACAAGUAGGAGCAGGGAAGUGAUUCCACUGGAACAGAAAUAUUGCAUGAAGUCCUGAUGCAGGCAUCUUGAAAAACAUUUUGGAAAAUGAAAAUGUGCAGAGAUGAUUUGAGGCCUGAUGAGUUUGAGAAAAUGGUUUAUUUGCAGAGGGUUUGAUCUAUUUAUUGUGAAGUAGCUUGACAGCAGCUGAAGUAGGGAAAAAAAGGAAGGCAGGGGACGGUGAAUACUUGAUCAAGUGAGAAUAUUUCAGUAAGAAACAAAAACAGGGUUAUUAAGCUCAGAUUUUGGAAGCCAGAAGGGGUUGUAAGACAAGAAGAUCCACCAUUUUUUUAAACAUUGGGGUAAGAAUCUUUGAAAAAAAAAUUAAAAGGGAUGGUGAAUCUGUUUCUGAAUCUUCACCUCUAUUGAAAAAUAGGUUUUAGACAGACAGAGUUCACUUGGUGUGGUAGAAGAAAAACUCCUUAAGCAUUAAGUUGAUUAAACAGACAAGAGUCACUCUGAGAUCUUCCCUGCUGUUGCCACUUAGGUCUCUCAGAGAUGUCCAAGGAUGGGCGUGUGAGGGUAAUUUUAUGUUUGUGAUUAUGUUUUUGUUUUAAAUGCCUAUGAAGUUCACCCCCACCUGUAUGGCUGUCUGUGUUCUAGCAACACUGGUCAUACUCAUUCUCUUUGUUGCAUGUUGAAUGGUUAUCACAGUCGUUCUGAAAUGAGAACUGUCUGUGUCUGUCCCCAAGUUCCCUUCAGGCAGGGAAGAAACACGAGGAAAAUGUCCUGCCAACAGAACUUUGUUUUCUGAAACUUGUAAGUAAGAAACAAUUCGUGAAGGAGCUGUGAGCCACUUUUUUUUCUCUCUGAAAGGAUCCCUUUCCAUUUUAUUGAGACUGGUCUUAUUACAGCCAUCUCCAGCUGGCAGGAAAGUUAUGUAUGUACUCAAUAACAGCAAACAUCAAUGAAAUGAGCCUUUAGAGCCCCUUACUGUGCUUGAAUCACCUUUAUUGAUGCAGUGGGAUGCAAACUGCAUUUCCAAUAGCUGUAGCUGAUGGACCUCAGGACCAGAUGGAGGAAACUGCCUGCAACUGGGGAGAGCAAAUUUAAACUGCUCCUGAGUGCCCCAAAAUAACCUCUCAAGCAGUCAUGGUUACCAGAGCAAAGGCAGAGCCAGCACUGCUACAGACAUCACCCAGCCAAAAGUGCUCUUCCAGAGAGGCACUUCAUCUGCCUGAAUGAAACAGGGGUGGGAGUCACUCACCUAAAUGUAGGUCACCUGGGCUGAGUGGUGACCAGGAGAGGUCAGUGCUGAAUGGGCACCAAAGUGUGAUUCAGGCCACCCUAAAAUAGACAUCUAAAUUAAGGCUCCACAGAAAUGUCUUCUCUCUCUCUUGGCUGCACAGGGAGUUUUCUAAGUGGCUCAGCUACAGACUGCUCUGCUGCAGAUGUCUGCCUUCAUUAACUUUUAGGGUCUUACGACCAACUCAAUUUCUGCCACCUGUCAGCACAAGGAAAGGGCCCUGAUGGGCCACAGCCACACUUGCUGUGUACACAAGAAGGAGCAGAUGUGGUUUCAUUUUGUUCCACAUGCAAAAAAGGGCACAUUCACACUGCCUGGUGAGCUCUUGCUGCAAGCACUGCAGGGAGGCAGUCUGGGCUCUGGCCAUCCAGUCUGUGUUAGCAAUCUUUGGACAUUGCUUAUAAAUGAGUGAAAGUGAUUUCUCAGCUUUUUCCUUGCUCAUUACAAAUGAGGAUGGAUCCAACAUUGAUAUCAAAAGGUGACAUGCUUAUUCCACUUUCCAGCUGAGGGCAAACCAAAAAAAGCCAGUUCAAACUUUGCAUCAGUGACAUGUGGAUAAUAUGGUGGUGUAGUUUUUCUGUGUUUUCUGAUUAUAAAUGGCAAUCUGAAGUUAAGGUAGGGCUUCACAUUCCUAGAACCAAAGUGCCACCAGUGGCUGCAGGAGGUGUAAUGGGCUGGGUCCUGCUGCAGCUCAAUGCUAGGAGGUGAAAACAGCAUUACUGGAAAAUUUGCACAGAACUCUGGGACUUCCUGCCUCCUGUGGGAUGCAGUGCUGUUUUUGAAAGCUAUAAAACUACUCAAGUGACUUGAAAACAUUAUUUCAUUCACUGGGAAAAAUAUCAUCUCUGUCAGAGAUGGACUGUGAAGCAGUAUAACAAAAGCAAAGAUUAGUCCAAGAUUCCUGGCAUUUUUUUGAGUUGGAUAUAAUUUUACUUGUGUGAGACCAUUUCCCUGCAAAUGGAAGACUGCAGUUACAAUGUGAUGGAAAAGAGGAGGGGAAUUAGUAGACUAACAGAGAAUAGUCUGAUACCAAAGAGAAGCCUCUGACCUGUAGAUUUACACAGUUCAAAUAAAUGAGAAACUGGCUGGUAAGCCUCUUAAAAUGCCAACAGUGCUUGAAAUAGGCUAACAAGCAAGUUGCCGUGUGAAAAAUGGCACUGCAGGUGACAUCAGAAGAAGCUCUUUGAGCAACUUCAAAAAACCCAGACCACCAUGAAGUUUUAUGUGAAAGAGGACCUUAAAUUUCUAAUACACAUAACAUGUCUUAAAAUAAGUAUUUUUACCUUUCCAAUAUACAUCUUCUGUCUUUCAUUGUGGUUCUUGCUUUCACCUCUUGUCUAAGACCAAUUUAAGAGUCAGUAGUAAAUAUCAGUUUUCCAUUUUUGCAUGUCACAUGGGCCAGAAGGCACUGAGCACUGUGCCUAAAAAUAUUUUCAGAGACUAGACAUAGAGAAUGUGUGAUGGAAAGAACCUGAGGACAUGCAUUAUUUCUGUAGUGAAAUAAAGCCUGCAGUAGUACUAGCAGGGGGAAGCAUCCUGGUGGUGGUACCAAAUAAAAUGGGACAAAUAUGUAUGGCAAGCACAGUAUGUCUCAACCCACACUCUGUCAAGUGAGAUCCAGUCAGCAGGCAAAGGAGGGUACACAGAGGCAAAUCAGAAUCUGUUCCAGUGAAAGUGGAUAUUGGGCUGGGCCUUGUUACGUGCAAGCACACCUGAUUUAGCAAAACUGCACUAUUGUGAAUUGUGGGAAUUGCUAAUGCAACCAAGGUGAAUGGCCUUUAGCAUUUGUGUUUCUCCCAAAUGCAUUUGCUGGAGCCAAGAUGCUGCUUGUGCAUCUGCCGUGCUGCUUCCCUUUGUGGUGGAAUUGUUUCACUCUGUUCAUGCUCCCAAAGCCCUGCUCUACCCAUUUGCCCUCAGCAUUGCUCUCUCUCCCCCCCAGGUUUUGCAGUAUCAUUGUUCUGAUGUCCCCAGUAUGAUCAUACCCGACAUUAUCCUGUCUGUUUUUUCUUCCUGACAGCCACUCACAGGAAAUUCUCAUCUGAAGGAGGAUUUGUGAAGACACCGUUGCCUCUGUGUGUUGUCUCUGACUUGUUCCCUUUUUGCAGUUCCUGUCAUAGCUCUUUGCUGCUCAGUCUCAGUUCUCUGAUGAAUCUAAUCUGCUUCCCCCUGCUCCUUGACUGAAGAUACCUCCACAGCUGUUACUCAGCACAUAGCAAGGGAGUCAACUCCAUCUUAUCACUCUCUUUUAAAAGCAAGAGCCUUGUGUAGAAUGUUUUCUUUCUUGGGGGUUGGACUAGAUGAUCUCCAUAGGUCUCUUCUAACUCUAACAAUUCUGUGAUUCUGUGUUUCCUCCCUUUUAAGUCACUCCUUCCUUUGCAAUUUGAGGUGGGCUCUUCAUUUCUCAGCCCAGCUUUGGACCCUGUGGUGUGGGGAGAACCACCAUCUCUGUCACCUUUCACUCAGACACCAAAGUCACCUUUUUAAAUCUGUUCUCUGUAUUGGUCAAACAGUAAAUACCUUUAAUGUGACUGUAUGUGUGUGUCCAUUCACACUGAGGUAAGAGCUUGGAGGCAGCACUCAGAAGAUUCAGCAAUCUGCCCCCACAUCUCUCUCUUUCCUGCACAAGGCUUCAUGAAGUCCCACAUUUUUCUACAGAUCUACCCCUUAUCUGUGAUUUCUCUCAAGUCAGCUGGACUGUGUGUCCAGCUUCUCAAUUUAAAACCAAUUUGCUUCAUCAAAGAGUUUAUUAGCAUGAGUCAAGAAAACUCCUUCAACACCUUCAGACUAUUUGUCAUUGAAGACAUCUCUUUUUUCCUUCUAAAAAGGAGAUGCUACAAAUACAUUUUCAUCUCCUAAUACCACAGCCCUUUCUUGGCAAUUUCUUCCUCAGAGUCAGUGGAAUUUUUCAGUGUGGAUGUGAAGGGAUAGCCACACUCCUCAGAGUUAUAUGGCCCCUAGCCAAGAUGUGCAAAUUCCCCUCCCAGCUCUGCUAGAAUGCUGACACAUUCAUUACAGACCUUGGAGUUGAACAGCAAGGGGCAAAAAACCUGCUUAGUGAGGUGCUCUGUGAACACAUUUUUCCCUGCAAUGAAGCAGAGAACAGGCUGAAAUGUGAACUGAUCCUCACCAUUUGUACUAGGGCUUACAGUGUAGUUGGACUUUAUUUUUAGCACUUUACCACUUUUUUCAGCCAUUUAUUAUUCAUUUCACUUCUUGAGAGGCCAGUCUUGCUCAUCACUCCAUGAACUUUCAGGUAGUCAAUGACUUCAGCUCAUGCCUUUCCCUGCUUUGAAUAUAUAUGGUCCAAUACACCUGACUACUGCUGGCAGACUCCCAAAGUUUCAUUUGCUAGAAAAUAAGCUUAAUGCCCAUUAUUUUAUCCCCAAGAUACGUCAAGUUUCCAGACAGCUUUCAAAUUUGAGAUUAGGAGGCAUAAACAAGCCAGUUGAUUAAUUACAAGAGGUGUUUUAUGCAUUAGAUUCCAUUUUUCAGCUGCUAAGUAAGAGGGAAAACUUCCUCAUCUGCCAAAAGAGUGCCUGUUUACUCAUGUGGCUACUUUGCAUGGGAGCAGGCUGCUCUCUCUUUGAAAUUGCUGUUAACAAAGAGGAAAGAUUUCUAAUUUGAGGAAACAAUGAAGAAUGAACAGAAUGAGGCUACCACCCCCACUGUCCUUGCUGGUGUUCUUCACCUCUGGAUCCUGGAUGAACAGAAAAUGAAUCAACAUGCCUUUCACAUGUUGCUCUUUAUUUCUCUCUAUUCAAUUUGAUGGAGGCUGACAAAACCCCAGCAUCAAAUGAGCACAGCCAGAGCUCAUCUUCACCAGAGGGACAUUGGGAAAACCUGUCUCCUGCUUUCCAUGAAGGCACACUCACCUAUAGCAACACCAGUGAUUCCCAGGAUCUGUGUUGUUCCCUUGCUGCCUUUGCAAUGGUUUCUCACCCCCAGGCUGCUCAACGUGCCCACACCUGUGGCAAACUCAGCCUAACCAUGGCAUUAGAAAGGGCAUCAUAGGAGCCCUUCAGUGUCUGCCAGGUUUGUGUCAGAGAUGCCAGGGUCCUUGUCUCUCCCCACAGACUUGGGGCUCCACAACUCCUGAUAGUACUGACUUCAUGGGACCGGGACACCUUUCCUUUCCAUGCAGAAAUGCUGCCUUUGCAGGUGCAGUCUGUGGCUGCUGCCCUUCCUCCAUCUCACCAGCAAAGUUCCCCCUCUCUUGAGGUAACCCCAGCCCCAGACUGAGAGAUACAGAAGGAGAAGGGAGGAGUAGGCCUACAAAGGUUUUAUCUCUGGCACCUCUCUAACAGCAUCCUAUUAAUUUCAGCAACUUCUUCCGACAUUUCCCCAUGGACAGAAGUUUUUAGUUGGCUUGUAACAAGAUAAUUUUUUCACUAAGUGAAAUUGGUCUUGCUACCAGAAACAGAAGCAGUGGCAAAUGACAUCUGUUAAUUCCUAUCCCUGCAUCAUUCCCAAGUGGUUAAAAGCUCUGAGUGCAGAAGACAGCAGGGAAGGGGGAAGGGCAACUAAGUGAUGCCACAAAAAAUGAAAGCUAUCUUGAAAGAGAACAUUAGAGUAUAAUUGAAAGCAGCUGCACUUUUUAGUUUAAUGCCCAUCCUAGAUACAAAGUGAAAACAGCAGCUACAACUGUAAUGAAAUAAAGGCUUAAAACAGUCCUAAUUAAGAGUGAGAUCUCACAUAUCACAGACCUGGUCUUCUCCUGGCUUCUGGAGAAAAGAACGAGGGUCACUUGGCCCUUGUCAAUGUCAUAUCCUGACAUUUCUAAAAAGUUAUAGCAAUAUACCAUUCAAACACUACAAUAGCUAUGAAAGGUGACUGAAAAUGCUAUGAAUGUUAAAAGUUGGAGAUCUCAGAACAGAUUAACAGUCUAUGCAUAAUAAUGGUCCCACUAUUAUAAGUAGAAAACUCAAGUACCUGAAAAUUAAUGAAGUAAAUAAAAUUAUAAAUCAAAGAAGAGAUUGCAAUAAAACACAUUCUCCCCUCCACCACCCCACCCUGCUCUGCUGACAAAAAUGCCUGAAAUCCAUGCACACUGAAAAAAUGCUAUGUCCUCUAAAGCAAGGCAAUAAGCUUGACAUGGAAGACUGUGGAAAUGAAGACAGCACAUCCAUAUUUCAAGUGUUUUCAUGACUGAUGAUGACAGAUCCUUUCCUAGCUGUGAGUGGUAUAAGAGGGAACUAAUUUUCUUUAGCUUUUCUCAGGCAUACAGAAAAUAAAGCAGUGAAGCAUAGAUAAUAUGGUUUGGCAAGUCACUUCUCUGGGUAUUCAGUAGGACAGAUCUUUAGCUUGCAUAUAUCAGCAUAGGAUCAUUGCCUUCAUAUUAAUUUAACAUCUGCCCCACUUUAUUAAUGUUCGGUUGCCGUUCUUUCUUAAUGGACAUUCAUACAUAUCCUAACAAAGAAAUCCCCAAAAGAGCUGUCUUAAAUAAAUGGAGCAAAACAAUUUACCCCAAUAGUGGAAAAAAUAUUGGAAUGCUAUACAAAAAUUCCAAAACAAUGUGAGUAAUUCAGCCUGGGAUUUGUUUGAAAGAAAAAUGAAGAUUCAGGGCAAGGUUAAAUGUAUUUCUGCCAGGACAUGGCUGCCCGUUCUUGUACCUCCAGCCUCUAUGCUUGUAUGUUUCUGUCUACUAAACUAAAUUCAGUACUAGUAUCCAAAAUCCCACCCCAAUGCAAGGACUGCCUGAAUUAGGUUAACUAUUGUGGGGCAAGCAUGUGUUGAAUCCUUUACUUGGAUUCUUCUAUCAAUCAUAACUAUUUAUUUGUUCAGUAUUCUGUCCAAAUAUAUUCUAAAUAUAAAAUACACUGUUUGGUGUUGACAUAUGAGGAAUGGCAGGGGGGAGCGUGGGGGUUGUCUUUCUUCUCAGUCAGCAACUACUAGCUCAACAUAUUUUUGACCAUCUGAUUGCUUCUCCUUGGACCCGAGAGUAUUUCCUCCCACAGGCAUUGAAAUCUGUACAUUUGGAAGCCAUAGCAAUUGGAAUAAACCCUUUUAUUGUUUCUUUGGAUAUUGAAGCUUGCCUCAAAGGUCCACAUCUCUCUCUCCUGUUUAUUACCUACUUAACCAUUGGCUGUUUCUUUGGCUCCCUGUCCUUCAGUCCACUGGUAAUUCAUCUGCUCUUAAUGAGGUGUCAAAAAUGAUUGAUAAUGCCUUUGUAAUUAUCUCUGCCUGCUCUUUAAGAACAUUCAGGUGAGACUAUCUGUCCUUGCUCAUAAGUGAGCACUUCGUUUGUCACCAUCAUUUUCUUUGUUCUUUUUCACCAGCCCAAACAACUGCUUCCUUGUUUUCUCACUUUCUCACCAACUGAAUCAAAAGUCAGCUUCAAAUGCAAAGCAACAAAUUCUGUAUUUGCAUGUAUCUUGCUUGUGAAGUCUCAGUGAGAUCAGUGAUAAGUGCAAGAUACAAAUCAGAGCACAUGUUAGCCUUAGAGAAAUGUGCUCCUGUAUGCUUCAAUCUACUCCUUCUGGUUAAUACAUUUGGAUCCCAAAUUGGCUUUUAUUCCUGUGUUUUAAUCUGAUGUGCCAGUCUGGGGGCCAAGUUUCUGUAUUAGAAGACAGAUUUUACUCUUUGAUGCGGGUAGCCUCUGAAGGCUUUUGGUUGAACUCCAUGCCCAAAGCAGAUGGCAAAGUCAGUUGUACAACCCAGGACCUUAAUUUGGUGUGGAUGGAUGCUCUAGAGCACAUAUAUUGCAAUGAAAUGAUAAAAUUAUUUGCUUUUGAGGUACACAGGGACAUUUCAUCCAUUUAUUCAGAUUACGGUGCCUUGGAAAUCAUUACAAAUUAAGACAGAGGAAUGACCAGGACUGUUAACUGUUAAACUGAUAAAGCCUGUUUUCACUGCAAAAUUAGUGUAAAAUAAAUGCUGACAAUGAAUGUCAGGAAAUUUAUUGUGAAUUUUGUCUUCUUAGGAAAGAUUAAGUGCAUUCUAACAAACACAAAUUAAUUUCUUUCAGGUACCCUUGAUUGCAGGUAAGAACCAUAUGACUGCACCUUUUUUUCUACUGAGUUUUUAGGAGUGUAAAAUUGAAGGCAAUGAAACUGAACAGCAAAAGGUAUAUAACAUAAUUUUAAAAGCAUCAGGUCUAGGUUUUAGAAACUCAUUAUAAUUGUUCCUACAGACUUUGGUGCACAGAAGCACCUAUCCAAUAUAUUUAUAUAUAUAUACACAUCAAGGCACGUAUAGUGAGCUCUUCAUCCUGAUAUUAGAGAGGAGGCUUCACUGAGCAUAUUUAGGGUACUCCUCAAGAAGGCUGGUCUCACCCAAUAUUAGACAUCUAAAACAAAGACAUUUAUAAUAAGUUACUCCCUGCAGUCUCCCUCCAGUCAAUGGAAAAAACAAGGCAUGGCUCAUCUGUCACUUAGCCAUCACCUUCAGAAGAGGAGGAAUCAUGCUCUGAAGUGUGUCUUUUUUUCUCCCACUUGGGAGAUAACUCCACUUUGGCCAAAGGAUCCCUUCAGAGUUUUCUUCCUCUGAAUUCCCUUGCAUUUGAUGAAAAAUUUGGCCUGGUCAUAUAGAGAUAGGUUUCUCCACAGUUGUUUCAGAAGUGUGCUUAGGGUCAGAAGAGAGAUUUGGACAAGAGACUAAUGGUUAUGGUUUUAUUGCCUUACUUGUGGAAUAGGAGAGUUUAAACUGGUGUGAGAUGAGAGCACAGCUCCUAGCACCCUUGCUGCCAUUCUGAAAGAGAAUCAGUACUAGAGCAUGUCCUGCUGUUUCCUCUGGCUCAAGCCUAAUGAAAUGUGCACUAAGGUUUAUUAAACUGAUCCUUCCAUCUGUUCCUUUUAAGAUCUGUUUUUGCAGUUCUGAGUGCUACAAAGAAGGGCUACAGUUUCACUGGCAUCAUUAUUUUUUUAUUAAGUUCACCCACAUCACGCAGUAAUUGGGUUUCCUGAUUUGGAAUCCUGAAGGUUCUCCAUAUUCGUUCAACCUACCCAUCAUAUUAAUGUCUGUACCAACACAUCUUCUCCAGCCACUGGCACACAUCAUUAUGACCCUGAACUUUAGCCCUAGGCAUGUCCCCUUCUAUCCCAAUCCAGUUAUCCUGGCACAGAUGGAUUUUGCAGCUAUUCUAACUACCCAGUCAGUUAGAAAAGAUCUAAUGUUGGCGCCAACGAGAAUUUUGUACAUCCCACUUUUUGUCCCCAAACUGGAGAAAGCACACUAAACU